rnacentral:rRNA from 1 species
CCCUAUGGGGUGCAGCAGGCGGACGAUUAAGUCAGUGGUGAAAUGCAACAGCUUAACUGUUGAACUGCCAUUGAUACUGAUUAUCUAGAGUACAGACGACGUUGGCGGAAUGCGACAUGUAGCGGUGAAAUGCUUAGAGAUGUCGCAGAACACCGAUUGCGAAGGCAGCUAACGAGGAUGUAACUGACGCUCAUGCACGAAAGCGUGGGGAUCAAACA